UACGAAAGGAGCAGGUGUUAUUCGAAUUAACUGGGCGUAAAGGGCAUGUAGAUGGCUUGUUAUAUAUAUUAUGAACAUAUAAAGCCUAACUUUAUUGAGUGAUAUGGACAGCUAAGCUAGAGUAAGAAUGGGGGUAGUAGAAUAUCGAAUGUAAAGGUGAAAUUUUGACAUAUUAGAUAGAAUAUCAAGUGGCGUAAGCAACUACCAGAGUCUUUACUGACAUUGAGGUGCGAAGGCGUGGGUAGCAAAUAGG
rnacentral:rRNA from 1 species